rnacentral:rRNA from 1 species
AUUGAACGCUGGCGGCAGGCCUAACACAUGCAAGUCGAACGAGUGGCGGACGGGUGAGUAAUGUCUGGGAAACUGCCCGAUGGAGGGGGAUAACUACUGGAAACGGUAGCUAAUACCGCAUACCAUCGGAUGUGCCCAGAUGGGAUUAGAUAGUGGGGGGGGUAACGGCUCACCUAGGCGACGAUCCCUAGCUGGCCUGAGAGGCUGACCAGCCACACUGGAACUGAGACACGGUCCAGACUCCUACGGGAGGCAGCAGUGGGGAAUAUUGCACAAUGGGCGCAAGCCUGAUGCAGCCAUGCCGCGUGUGUGAAGAAGGCCUUCGGGUUGUAAAGUACUGUCGGCGGGGAGGCGUUACCCAAAGAAGAAGCACCGGCUAACUCCGUGCCAGCAGCCGCGGUAAUUC